rnacentral:rRNA from 1 species
GGGAUUUAGGGCAUUACAAUCUAAGCCAUGUAUGUGAAAGUAUAAACUAAUUCAGAUUGUGAAAUUAUGUAUAGCUCAUUAAAUCAGUUAUAGUUUGUUUGAUGGCAUUUACUACAUGGAUAAAUGUAGUAAUUCUAGAGCUAAUACUACUUCUGUAAGGGAUACAUUUAUUAGAUAAAAGGUCAAUACGAGCUUUCCACAUUACUCUAAUGAUUCAUGAUGACUCAAUGGAUCGCAUGGCCUUUGUGCCAAUGACACUCAUUCAAAUUUUUGCACGAUCAACUUUCAAUGGUAAGAUAGUGGUAUGUUAUGGUGGUGAUAGGUGACGGAGAAUUAGGGUUCAAUUCCAAAAAAAAAAGCCUGAAGAACAACUACCACAUCUAAGGAAGGCAGCAAGCAUGCAAAUUACCCAAUCUAACAUGGGGAAGUGGUGGCAAUAAAUAACAAUACCAAGCUCUAUGAGUCUAGUAUUUGAAAUGAGUAUAAUCUAAAUCCCUUAAUAAAGAUCCAUUUGAGGGCAAGUCUGGUGCCAGUAGCCAUGGUAAUUCCAGCACCAAUAGCAUAUAUUCAAGUUGUUGUAGUUAAAAAGCUCAUAGUUGGAACUAGGGUUAGGUCAUCUGUCCUCCUGAUGAUGAGUAUUGGUUGACUCAUCCCUAAUGAUGCACUCCUAGCCGUAACUAGUCGAGUCAUUCCUCUAGCACUAUCACUUUAAAGCAAUUAGAGUGCUUAAAGCAGGCUUACACUUAUAUACAUUAGCAUGGGAUAAAAUCAUAGGAUUUCAGUCCUAUUGUGUUCACCGUAGAGAUCAAAGUAACAAUUAAUAGGGACAGCCAAAGGCAUUUGUAUUUCAUAGUUAGAGGUGAAAUUCUUGGAUUUAUGAAAGAUGAGCAAUUGUGAAAGCAUUUGUCAAGUAUGUUUUCAUUAAUCAAGAAUGAAAGUUAAGGGCUCAAAGAUGAUCAGAUACCGUCCUAGUUUCGACCAUAAAUGAUGUUGACCAAAGAUCAGUGGAUGUUACUUUUAAGACUUCGCUAGCACUUUUUAAGAAAUCAAAGUCUUUAGGUUCUAAGAAAAGUAUGAUUGCAAGACUAAAACUUAAAGGAAUUGAUAGAAAGGCACCACCAGGAGUGCAGGCUAUGACAUAAUUUGACUCAACUUAGGGAAACUUACCAAGUCCAGACAUAGUAAGGAUUGACAAACUAAUAGCUUUUUCUUGAUUCUAAGGGUGGUGUUGCAUGCCCAUUCUUAGUUGGUGAAGUGAUUUGUCUAGUUAAUUCCAUUAACAAAUGAGACCUCAACUUGCUAACUAGCAAUGCGUAAGUGAUCUUUCAUGGCUAGCUUCUUUGAGGGACUAUGGUUACUUAGGCUAAAGAAGUUUGAGGUAAUAACAUGUCUAUGAUGCCCUUAGAUGUUUUAGGCCACAUGCGCACUACACUGAUAUAUUCAAUGAGUCUAUAGCCUUAGCCGAUAAGUCGAGGUAAUCUUUGAAAUUUCAUCGUGAUGGGGAUAGAUCAUUGCAAUUAUUGGUCUUCAACAAGGAAUUCCUAGUAAACGUGAGUCAUCAGUUCACGUUGACUAUGUCCCUGCACCACCCAUUGUUUCUAUUGAUUGAAUGGUCUAGUAAAGUGUUUGGAUCAUAGCAACAUGGAUGGUUUACUUUCCGUGAUGUUUCAAGAAGCCACUAAACCUUAUCAUUUAGAGGAAAGAGAACUCGCAACAAGGUUUUCACAGGUGAUCCUGUAGAAG